rnacentral:rRNA from 1 species
AGUGAACGCUGGCGGCAGGCCUAACACAUGCAAGUCGAGCGGCAGCGCGUCCGACCACCCUCGGGUGGUCGGAUGGCGGCGAGCGGCGGACGGGUGAGGAAUGCAUCGGAAUCUGCCUCGUUGUGGGGGAUAACGUAGGGAAACUUACGCUAAUACCGCAUACGACCUACGGGUGAAAGUGGGGGACCUUCGGGCCUCACGCGAUGAGAUGAGCCGAUGCCGGAUUAGCUAGUUGGCGGGGUAAAGGCCCACCAAGGCGACGAUCCGUAGCUGGUCUGAGAGGAUGAUCAGCCACACUGGAACUGAGACACGGUCCAGACUCCUACGGGAGGCAGCAGUGGGGAAUAUUGGACAAUGGGGGCAACCCUGAUCCAGCCAUGCCGCGUAUGUGAAGAAGGCC